rnacentral:lncRNA from 1 species
UGAGCUGGCCCCAGCCCCUGGGAACGGUGCAGCAGCAGCAGCACGGAGCGGUGGGGAGGGCAGGGGGUCCCCAUCCCCGUGCCACCAGGGUGCGGUGAUGGUGCCACCAUCCCCAUGGUGCCGGGCACCGUUACGGGUGGCAGGGCCGCUCCUCCCGGCCUUGCUGGUGCUGCCCGGCCCCGGCACGGGGCGAUGCAGGCUCCGGUGGAAAAACAUUGCCCGAGAUCACGUAACCGGUGCUGGCUUCUCGCGGCGCUGCGUGGAGGGGGUGGAACUGCAGAGGCGGCCUCGCUGCCGCCAGCCCUGACGUGCGGCCUCGCCUGGCAACCUGCGCCGCGCUCCCCAGGUGCCACGAGGCUGCAGAGCCCCGGCAGCAGCUCCCGGUGGCCCCAGGAGCUGAGGCCGGCGGGGUGCCGGCAGCC